rnacentral:lncRNA from 1 species
UCAAACUAACACAAACCCCUAUUCUUUGGCUUAGGUUAUAUCCCUUUAUUAAAAUGCAUGUUUCAUCAUUGUUUUAAACUGAACACCUCUUAUUCUGGUCGGGUUCCACUUUCUGUCUGCAACUCCACCCUUAACACAAGGAAAUAAAGAACUUGACUUGCCAUUGAAUCAAGUAACAAUUUAAUCAAAUCACAUAUUUGUCCUUUCAGCGUGUGGAGAGUUACAAGUCUGAUAAAUAGGGACUUAUUUGUAGGAUAUUGUAAGUUUCCACAAGGAACAAACCAGAUAGUUAACUUAUCAGAUACCACAGGACAGAUGUCAAUCUCUGUGAAUCAGAGUCCCAGAGGAACAGACCCUAGGUUUAAAGAUAUGUAAAAACCACUUAUUCGGGAGUUCCCAUCUUGGAUUUGUUAACCACUGAGCCACUGCGGGAACUCCUCUCCUCAGUUUUCUAAACAUGGAAAUGUACCAGGCCCUGCCAGGCUGCUGGGGUAGUGAUUGGUGCUUCUUCCUACUGUACAGGGUGAGACUCAGAGGGAACUAAGCAUGUUUAAGAAUUAGCCCCAAGCUCAGGGUUCAUGAAAGGAUAGUGACUAAAAGGUUCUUUUCUGUAGUAUUUAAAGAUAAAUAUUACCUAAUACUUUUUUUUUAAGUGGGAAAGUUUACAGGCACUGAAACUUCUCUUUUGGCUCAUAAUAUAUUCCUCCUCCACCAAAUUAUAUAGCAGCUUAUCCCACAUUUCAAUUUCUAAAUAAAUUGGUCUUCAUUAUUCUUAGAUUCCUGACAGACAUCCCAUCUAAGAAUUAAUGUUUUGCAUUCUGCCACUUUGAGCAUGUUAAACAAAUUACUCAGUGUCAUUGUCACUGAAUUAAUUAGAAGGAUUCAUGUGAUGACUUUAGCAUACCGAUGUGAAUGUGGUUUUUUUAUAGGGCUCAUUUAUUUUUUAUGAAUAAUGACAAGUCUGUGAUGGUAUCAUUUGUGGUUUUUGCAUUACCUGCCUUAGGGAGUUGUCCUGAGGACUAAUGCCAAUAAAGUGGUCAGAACGGUACCUAGCCUUUAGUAAGGGAUCAAAUGCUAUUUUUAUCCUUAUUAGUGAGCUUUGUGACCACAGGCUAGGGUAAUCAGGGUGGUACCAUUAUCCUCGUUUUACCAGUGAGGAUCCUUGAUGCUCAGAAGUUUGAUCAUCUGGAAGGACUGGCAGUAUCAGGAUGAGAGCCUAACCUUCAGGUCCUAGUUCUGUGUUCCUGGCUACCCACAUAACUGGCAUUUUGGGGUUUAUUAUUUCAAUGUGUGAAUUUGGGCAGGAUGCAAACAUUCAGGCCAUAGUAGUUAAGCCAGCUUGUAUGAAAAUAGUACAAUGCAGAGUAUAUAGUAGGAACUCCAUUGAAACGGUUCUUUUCCUUCUGUGCAGUUCAUAGCUGGUAGGACUCUCUUCUCCUUUCCCUUUCCCCUGUUGAUGCCCCAGCUGAGCCCUUUGUCCCCAGACCACUCAGGAGCCUCUAGUCUUCAGCAGUCAGUGGUGGUCUUAGCUCAGGCUGCUAUAACCAAGAAUCAUAGACUGAGUGGCUUAAACCACAGAAACCUACUUUGUCACAGUUCUGGGGGCUUAAAAUCUGAGAUCAAGGUGGUGGGAGGGUUGGUUUUCUGAGGCCUCUCUCCUUGGUUUGUAGACAGCCGCCUUCUUCCUGUGUCUUCACAUGGUCUUUCCUCUGUGCCCGUCUGUGUCCUAAUCUCCACUUCUUACAAGGAUACAACUCAUAGUGGAUCAGGGCCUAUUCUCUUGACCUUAUUUUAAUGUAACAGAGGUCUUCUAAUAAUAAAAGACCCAGCAUGAUGGAGGAUAAUGUGAGAAAAAUAAUGUGUGUGUGUGUGUGUGUGUGUGUGUGUGUGUGUGACUGGUCAUUUGCUGUAUAGUAGAACAUUGACAGAGCACUGUAAACCAGCUAUAAUGGAAAAAAUAAAAAUCAUUAAUAAAAAUAAUAAUAAUAAAAAAGACCCUAUCUCCAAAUAUAGUCACAUUCCCAAGUGCCAGGGAUUAGGGCCUCAACAAAAGAAUUUGGGGGAGGGAGUUCUUAUUGUGGUUCAGCAGAUUCUUAACCCAUUGUUAAUUCGGGUGAUCCCUGGCCUCGCGCAGUGGGUUAAGGCUGUGGUGUAGAUUGCAGAUGUGGCUCAGAUGCAGCAUUGCUGUGGCUGUGGCGUAGGCCUAAACCUGCAGCUCUGACUUGACCCCUAGCCCAGGGACUUCCAUAUGCUGCAAGUGCAGCCAUAAAAAGAAAAAAAAAAAAAAA